rnacentral:rRNA from 1 species
UACGUAGGUGGCAAGCGUUGUCCGGAUUUAUUGGGCGUAAAGAGCGUGUAGGCGGCUUUGCAAGUCCGUUGUGAAAACUCGAGGCUCAACCUCGAGACGCCGGUGGAAACUGCAAAGCUAGAGUCCGGAAGAGGAGAGUGGAAUUCCUGGUGUAGCGGUGAAAUACGCAGAUAUCAGGAAGAACACCCGUGGCGAAGGCGGCUCUCUGGGACGGUACUGACGCUGAGACGCGCAAGCGUGGGGAGCGAACAGG